rnacentral:rRNA from 1 species
UGAGGAAUAUUGGGCAAUGCCCGCAAGGGUGACCCAGCAACGCCGCGUGGAGGAUGAAUGUCGUAAGAUUGUAAACUCCUGUUAGAGGGGAAGAAUAGUACCGGUUGGACCGGUAUAUGACUGUACCCUCAGAGAAAGCCCCGGCUAACUCCGUGCCAGCAGCCGCGGUAAUACGUAGGGGGCAAGCGUUGUCCGGAUUUACUGGGGGUAAAGGGCGCGCAGGCGGGAUAAAAAGUCAGUGGUGAAGUCCUACAGCUUAACUGUAGAACUGCCUUUGAUACUUUUAUUCUUGAGUU